CUUUGAUAAUAUCCAUAUUUUACAUUUUUUUCAUUGUUUAUAUCGUAGAAGCUGUUGAUAUCCAGUUCCAAGGAAUAGAACCACAGACUGUACUGGUUGGUGAUAAUGUUACAUUUCGCUGGCUGUAUACUGGAAACGAGAAACCUCUUCUAACUCUGUUUAAUGUCUUGGAAGGUGCCAAUUCAGAAACACUGAUAUAUUAUGCAUUCAGCAUCGAUGGUAGUGAACCACAACUAUUUCCGAAAGUUAUAGAAAAGUAUGCAACAACGGCAAAUUGGUCUGGUGAUAUUUCAAAAAACGAAUUCGCGUUUACGCUCACAAAGGUGAAGGAAUUUUCUCAUAAGAAGAAUUUUACUGUACAUAUUGAGCACGACGGUAACAUACGAGAAGAUGCUUACAUAACAUUGUUCAUUUCAGGUUGUUAUUUUUAUUAUUCCUUAUCUAAUCGUGAAGUAUAAAUCUGUAUAAUAUUCUGAUUUCUGAG